GAAUGAAGAACGCAGUGAAAUGCGAUAAGUAAUGUGAAUUGCAGAAUUCAGUGAAUCAUCGAAUCUUUGAACGCACAUUGCGCCCGCCAGUAUUCUGGCGGGCAUGCCUGUUCGAGCGUCAUUUCAACCAUCAAGCCCCCGGCUUGUGUUGGGGACCUGCGGCUGCCGCAGGCCCUGAAAAGCAGUGGCGGGCUCGCUGUCACACCGAGCGUAGUAGCAUACAUCUCGCUCUGGGCGUGCUGCGGGUUCCGGCCGUUAAACCACCUUCAUAACCCAAGGUUGACCUCGGAUCAGGUAGGAAGACCCGCUGAACUUAAGCAUAUCAAUAAGCGGAGGA
rnacentral:misc_RNA from 1 species